GAUUUUGAAAUGGAUGAAUAUUGAGUGAGUUAUGCUGAGUUGAAGUUUUGAUAUGCAUUAUGUUUCUCUUCGAUUUACUCUGGUUAGGAAGAAUUAGUGUAAAUUGAACCUGGAUUUGGAAUGUACAUUAGAUAAGCUUUCGAUUGAUGUAUAGUAUGCGUGAUUCUGGAAUUUUUUUUUGUGAACAUCACUGUAGCGCCACCGUCUCAUUGAAGAAGACGGUGGAAACCAC
rnacentral:lncRNA from 1 species